GUUUCAGAGAAAUGUUUUCACCUGCUCAACACGUGAUUCUUGAGAAUCUACAAUAUUAUUCUUCUCUGUGAUUCUUGGGACUGCCGAGAAAAAUCCUGAGCAACACAGAAGAAGUGCUAAUGAAAAGGAGGCUUCUGAGAAUUCUGGAACUGUGGGUUUACGCCAUUUUGCAUCUUAUGCAUUUGCUGGUAGGAGUGGCAUACUUGGAUGGAGCAGAAAGAAUGAGAAUAUCGAAGCACAUUCUUCAGAUGCAUCACAGUUCAUACCACAACAUAAUUACAGGCUUGAUGUUCAUUCUCUAAACAGUCGUCAUCCUGGAGAGGUCGUCCUUCCUCUUUAUUCAUUUUAUGGGACCCACUUGUCAAUCUGAAGAUGAACUUCUUCUGGUAAGCUAUUUAUAGCGUCAGAUCUCUGGCUAAUUAUUGUCAUCAUAAAUAUAGGGAUAUAAACAUUUUAGGGCAAGGUUUAUAAAGAUUUUUAGGGCUAAGGUUGUGCGUUUAAAAUGCCCAAACGGUAUUGUUAAAGUCAUUGUGAUUAAAAUGUCUGAACAGCAUUUUUUUUAUUAAGGUUUUGGUGGUUGAGUUGAUGGACAGAUUGACAGAGAAGUGGUUAUGGUCGAUUUGAGUGUGAUUGGAUGGGGUUUUGCAGUUGAAAGGAACACUUUUCUGGUUUCUGGGGCUUUCGAUUUGAAUGUGAAAAUGCCUUUUAGGCUUCGU